rnacentral:rRNA from 14 species
CCCAGACCAUCAGCUAAGGUCCCUAAAUAUAUACUAAGUUGAACUAACGAGGUUCGAUUGCUUUGACAGCUAGGAUGUUGGCUUGGAAGCAGCCAUUCAUUUAAAGAGUGCGUAACAGCUCACUGGUCGAGCGGCAGAGCAUCGAUAAUAAUCGGGCAUCAAGUACAAUACCGAAGCUUAGGAUCAUUUAUGAUGGUAGGGGAGCAUUCUCUAAACAAUGAAGGUGUGACGUGAGU